CCUGGGCCGGAGCCUGCGGAGGGGAGGGCCUCACUCAGAGACAGGGGCAGAGACAAGUGACAGAGGCUGGGUGUCACCAAGCGGAGGCCUGCACUUUGAUUUUCUUCUCAGGGGGACUGGACAGCACUGAAAGGAAGCUCCUGGCACGUAGCCUGGGUCAUCCGGUGUCUGCCCUCCAUCCCUGACCAUCUGGGGGCUCCCUCCCUGCCCUUGGCCCCGGCCUCGGCCCCCAUCCCCAAGCCCUGCCUGUUCUCCAGCACCUGGGCUCCGGCUUUGACGGACAUCCUUGGUUUUCCAUGCCCACCUGGGAGAUGGUACCCAGGUGGCAGCUCCGAAGGCCUGUGGUUGUGACAUGGAGCAGACACCUUACCUGAUAGCAGGCGAGAAAGCAGUGAACGCCUUGACCAAUGAAUGUCUUUUUGGACCCGUGCACUCCGAAGUGAUUCCCAUUGGUGAUUUGCUGACUCGCCGCCAACGCGUUAAUGAUUUCGAUAAUAGUCAUUUCUCUCUCUCCCGGGGGGCUGUUGGAACGAAUCCACCAGCGGAGUGGGAGUUGGCCAUUCACUCCAAACAUCUCAUUAACACUGGAUGUCCGCAUUUUACAACUAGUUUCCAUGUGACAGUGUGAAUUGGUCCAGCCGCUUGGGAGAACCACUGGGCACCGUCUCCUAAAGCUGGGCAUGGACUCUGUGAAGACCCAGCCCUCCCACUCUUGGGAAUGCAGCCCGCAGACAGACAGACAGACAGAUGUUCACCGAAAAGCCGGAACCAGAAUUUCAGAGCAGGCCUACUGCCAACGAUAACCCCCGACCGGAGCCAACCCAGGUGCCCGCCAACAGGAAAACGGGUCAGUACGUUGCAGUAGACUCACACGUGGGAAUGUUGCGCAGCCGUGGGGACCAAGGCACUUUCGCACCAUGAAGUGGGUGAAUCUCAAAAGCUGGGUUAGGCGAAGGAAUCCAGGCACUGGAAGAACAGCUUGGGCCCCGACCGGGGUAGCUCAGACGGCUAGAGCUUCGUCCGGGUUUCAGGGUCGGUACCCAGUCGGGGCACAUACGAGAAUACGCCAGUGAAUGCGUAAGGACGUAGCACCACAGCCCUCUCUCUCUCUUCCCCUCUCUCUCUAAAAUCACGCAAUCAGUUAAUAAAGUACAGCCUGUAUAAUUCCAACUUAAUGUUGUUGGACAAGGGGAGAAACUCACUGACAGUGGUUAAGGAUGCUUACUCAGACGGCAAGGGGGAAAAGACAGAAAGGGUCACUAGGACAUCCAGGUGCCGGCUAUUACCUCUGGAAGAGGGAGGGGCUUUGGUGGGAGGGACAGUGAGGAGUCUCCAGGACCUGGAGGUGUGCUAGUCUUGGUCCUGAGUGAUGGCUAUAAGGACGUUUGUUAUUGCAAUAAUGUGUUAAGUUAUACACGUACAUUUUAGGCACUCUUCUGUGUGUGGCACGCUUCACAAUGAAAGUAUUUGAAUAAAAGAAUAAACGGAUACAGCAGA